UACGGAGGGGGCUAGCGUUGUUCGGAAUUACUGGGCGUAAAGCGCACGUAGGCGGACCAGCAAGUUGGGGGUGAAAUCCCGGGGCUCAACCCCGGAACUGCCUUCAAAACUGCGGGUCUGGAGGUCGAGAGAGGUGAGUGGAAUUCCGAGUGUAGAGGUGAAAUUCGUAGAUAUUCGGAGGAACACCAGUGGCGAAGGCGGCUCACUGGCUCGAUUCUGACGCUGAGGUGCGAAAGCGUGGGGAGCAAACAGG
rnacentral:rRNA from 1 species